rnacentral:lncRNA from 1 species
GGAUCAGAGACCUCAACAUGGUUACGACUCAGUUUUUCCCAAAUUAGAUUCUACACAAUCUAGAUUCAACACAAUCCCAAUCAAGGUUGCAGCAGGCAUUUUUAUAGAAAUUGACAAUGUAAAUUCCAAAAUUUGCAAGGAAAUGCAAAGACCUAGAAUAGCCAAGAAUCUUAAAUAAGAAGCACAAAAUUGGAAAGCUCACACUACAUUGCUACCAAGAAUCUCUAUAAAGCCAGAGGAGUUGAGAUAGUGUGGAACUGACAUAAAGAUAGACAAAUCCAAGGUGCCACAGAGUUAGGAAACAGAAUAAGUUUCCCUAAACAGCAGGUUAGCUGUCUUCAGAUAAUAUGCUCAAUAUGUUUCCAGGUGAAGUGCCUCUAAGUUUGAAGCAAUGGCUCUGAUUGUCAAUCUGAUAAAAGCUCAAUAAUUAUGUAUCCAACUCUAAAAACAGAGAAGAUAGCAUAUUCAUUGUACUUUUUUGAGAUUGAUAAUUGGAUCUACCACUUUAAAUUUAGCAAUUCUUCAUUUGGAAAAGGACUAUCUGAAAAUUGAAGAAAAAUAUUGCACAUGCCAUGUGUAAAUGUAACUAACAUGCAGUUUAAAGACAAGUUUAAGGUACCUGGGUGGCUCAUUCGGUUGAGCAUCUGCCUUCACCUCAGGUCAUGAUCUCAGGAUCCUGGGAUCGAGCCCCACAUCAGGCUCCCUGAUCAGUGACGAGUCUGUUUCUCCUUCUGCCCCUCCCCCCACUCAUGUUUUCAAUCUCUCUCUCUCUCAAAUAAAUAUUAAAAAAAAAAUAAUAAAGCUAAGUUUGGCACUACCUUAGCCAGGUAGUUAAGGCCAAUGUCAUAGGGAUAGAUGCUGUUAACACCCUUGACAUGAUGUGAUAAGAAUGGCACUUUACCCCUUGUAGGCUUCCUCUAAAAACCCAUAUGCUCAAUCUGACCAUGAGAAAAAACAUCAGACAAACCCAAAUUGAGGGACAUUCUACAAAUCCUAAACAAGGAGAGUCUGAGAAACUCUCACAUCUAUGAGAUGCCUAAGGAGACACGAUGACUAAGUGUAAUGUGGUACCCUAGAUGAGAUCUUGGGACAGAAAAAGGACAUUAGGUAGAAACUAAUAAAUAUUAAUAAAGUGUGGACUUUAUUUAAUGAUGUGUCAAUGAUGUUCAUUAAUUGUGACAAAUGUACCAUACUAAUGUGAGGUGUUCAUAAUAAGGGAUACUGGGUGCAGGAUAUGUAGGAACUCUCUGUAGUGCCUUUGCAUUUUCUGUAAAUGCAAAAUAAUUCUAAAAAGUAAAGUUUAUUUCAAAAAAAUAUUUAUCCUGUAUAUCUGCAUGCUGCCGAGACCCUGUAGAUAGAUGGACCUGAAUAAAGAUUCUGUAAAUAUAUAUAUAGGAUCACAGGAGACAUCUGACAAAAAUGCCAAUGCAAUUCAACAGGGAAAGAAAUGUCUUUUCAAUAAAUGACCCUGAAGUAACUGAAUGUCCAGAUUGGAGCAAGGAAAAAAAAAAAAAGAUCCUUGACCAUUGUUUUACAUCAGACAUAAAAUUUAAUUUGCGAUGGACUAUAGAUCUAAAUGUAAAAGCUAAAAUAAUAAAGCUUUUAGAAGGAAACAGGAGAAUUCUUCAUGACACUGAGGUGGCAGAGAUUUCUGAGGACACAAAAUCACUAACCAUGAAAUUAAAAAUUUAUAAACUGGACUUUAUCUGUUCACCAAGAGAUACCAUCAAGAAAGUGCAAAGGCCAGCCACAGACUGGGAGAAAAUGUUCACAAAUUGAUCUCUAGAUCUGGCAAAGUUCCGUGGGCAGAAGAGAGAAACCUCUACAAACCAGUACAAGGAAGACAAAUGGCCCAAUUUUUAAAGAAAAAAGAAAGAAAAAUAAUGGGCAAAAAACUUGGACAUCUCACUGAAGAAGCUAUCUUGGUGGUCAAUAAGCACAUGAAAAGAUACUCAGUGUCAUCAAUCAUGAGGGAAAUGCAAAUUCAAAUCCCAGUGAGAUCCCACAACACACCCGCUAGAAUGACUGAAAGUUAGAAACCAAUACCAAGUGUUGGCAAGAAUGUGGAACCGCGGGAACUCUCACAUGCUCCUGGUGCAAAUGUAAAAUUGUGCGGUCACUUUGGAAAACAGUUGGCAGUUUUUGAUAAACUAAGCAUAUGGCCACCCUAUAAUAUAGCAAUUAUACUCCUACCUGGGUAUAAACACCCAAGAGAAUGAGCACUUAUUUCCACCAAAAGACUUGGGUCUAACUUACACUGGUGAUGUUAAUUUUGACCCCUAGGGAAGGUAGUGUCUGCCAACCGCCCCCAGUUAUAAAGUUACCAUUCUUCUUUGUAGUUAAUAAAUAUAUUGAAGGAGAUACUUUAUGCAGAUAUCCUGAGUCUUCUCAAACUUUUGCAUAUUAAUUUCAACAUCCAUCAAUGGAUCUUGCCUGCAAAAAUUAUUACUAUGGGGUACUGAUGUGAUUUUCUAUUUCCUAUAUUCCUUUUACCUUUAUGAAUUGGAGUUGUUCUGUAAGGGAGAUCUGUCCCCCUCCCCAACUGCCCAUUGAUUUAUCCGGUUAAUGAUUUGUAUCCUUAUGGACUCAAGAAGUUUCUUCUGUAGGUUACAGUCUAUCAUUACCGACUUUGUGACUUAAAUAGUUCCAAGGAUCUUCUCUGCUAGUCUCUCUUUCCUCAGCCUCUCAUCACGAUUGUGUUAUUAUUUCUUGAGUGUUUAGUUCCUAGAUGCAGAUGCUUAUACUUCAAAUUUGGGGAAAUGUAAAAGGUUUUGAAAGGUUCCAAAUAGUUUGUGUUCCAGAAAAUCCAAGAAACCCAGAACUGGAGGAGUUCUCAUAAAUGAACAUUACUGAGUAUCCUUCCUGUUCCACUUCACACCUUUCCACCCUCCUCUGUACCCGGGGCUCCCCCAUACGGAUGACAUCAUGGGCCCCCUGCCUCACCCUUCUGGGUGGUGUAUCCAAUAGGCGACACCAGCGGGACAGGAUGGGCAGAGAGUGAGGUGAGGUAUUUAUUCCCUUGACUCCCCUCUUAAAAGGUUUCUUCAGGCUGGCUGCAUCCUUCCACCAAAUGCCCCCUACCCUAUAGGACACACUCCUUCCAGAUUUGGGAAACUAUUUCCUUCUGAUCCCUUCACUCUCAGGGGGGUUAACAGCUCGUCUGAUACUAACCCUAGGUAACCACACCAUCCCUCCUGGUUCCCCUAAACCCCACCCACACCUUUCUGUCGAAGUCCUGUCUCCUGUUGGGACUUUGACUAAUAGAUCUCAUAAAUGUCUAAUGCACUUAGAAUAUGUGGUUGUCCAGAGUGAAGAUUCUAUAGUAUCCCUCCAUUAUUCACUCUGGGGGUUAAUCACAUCAGCAGUUAUCUUCUCACCUCCAUACAGAAUCUUCUCUGCCUUCACUUAAGCUCCAUGUUCUCUUCCCUGGUUCUGUGUGAUCAUGAAAAAAAAUUUUUUUUGCUCAAAAUCCUACGCAAUUGAGAGGAAUAGGUGCCGCCUCUUAAACUUGUCUACUGUUCCUUUAACCAGACCUCACAGGAAAGAUUUUCUCCCCUUUCUUUUGUGCUUUUGGGCCCUAAUUUCUCCACAUCAUGAAAUAAAAGGAUGGCUCAAAAAUGAGGGUAGGGGGUACAGCCAUGUUCCUCGCAGCACUACUGGUGGUAGUCAAAAGGUGGAAGCCACUCAGUGCAUGGACAGAUGACCGGAUAAAUAAAAAGUGGUAUAAACACACAAUGGAAGGUUAUUCAGUCUUUUUUUUUAAAGAUUUAUUUAUUUUAUUUAUUUAUGAUAGACAGAGAGAGAGAGAGGCAGAGACACAGGAGGAGGGAGAAGCAGGCUCCACUCCGGGAGCCCGACACGGGACUCGAUCCCGGGACUCCAGAGUCACGCCCUGGGCCAAAGGCAGGCACUAAACCGCUGAGCCACCCAGGGAUCCCCAAGAUUAUUCAGUCUUAAAAAGGAAGAAAAUCCCCAUACAUGCUAUGAUGUGAUAAAUCUUAAGGACGUUAUGCUAAAAGUGAAAUCAGCUUGCCACAAAAGGACAACAGUAGUUGUCCUGUAUGAUUCCACCUGUGUGACAAAUGUAGAAUAGUCAAAUCCAUAGAGACAGAGAGAGUGGUGAUGGCAAAGUCUAGGGGAGAGGGAAUGGGGAGUCAGUGAAGGAUGGACACAGAGUUGCAGUUUUGCAAGAAGAAAAGAGUCCCUCAGAUGGUGGUGAUGGUUGCACAAGAGCAAUGCACUUAACGCUGUUGAACUGUCCACUUAAAAGUGAUACAUUUUAUGUAAUGUGUAUUUCACCACAGUUGUUU